rnacentral:lncRNA from 1 species
AGCCAAAAGAAAGGUAUAUUAACACACACACACACACACACACACACACACACACACACCACAUACUCCCAAAAACAAAAGGCAAGAAAAAUGAUGGGGAGAAAUAGAAGGGAGAGUAGACAGGAAAGGGAAUGAGAGGACACACAAGGAAAGAAAAAGGAAUGUCGCUGAGAAGCUAGAAUGAGAGAAGAGAAAAUCUAGAGAAAAGGGGAAGUGAAAAAUAAGAAUGAAGAAAGGGGAUGGUGAGAAAUGAGAAUAGGAAGAGAAGAGAAACGGGAGAAAGGGAAAAGAGAGAAAGACGAUGGGAAAGAGAAAGAGAAGGCGAAGAGACAGCGGAUGAGCAGAAGAAUGGAGAAGGAAAUGGGAUAACUGGGAUGGGGAAGGAGAUGGAGGAGGGUGAGGUGGGAAGAAAAACUGGGAUCUACUGACACUUUCAAGCUGCACAUACUGGGUCCAAAGCCUCAGCUGAGGGCUCCAUCGCCCAUCUCCCAGCUGGUCUGGGCUCUAGCUCCUGCCCCUCUGGAGGGCCCUGAAACCGGCCCGCCCGCCCUGCUGCCUGGAAACAGCCGUCGGAUGCCCCCAGCACCCCGACAGCUUCGCACCAUCCGACGGCUAGGGGCCCCAUCCCCAAAGUCGCCCACCAGGCCGCCGACCCUCGCCUCCCAGCCUGGCCAUCCGCCACUCCCCCAGACCGCGCUAGCCAUCCGCGCCUUUCCCCAGACUUCUCCCCGCGGCCCCAUCACUUGCCUCCGAGACACAAAAAGGAAAAGAGGAGGAAAAGAGGUUUGCGCUCUGGAGCUCACUGGAGCAGGUUACUAUGGAAAUCGUCUUAAGGAGGAGGGGAAAAACCGAGCCACAUUUUUGCGACCACGAAGGAAGCUGAUCUGGGGAGCAGAUUGUAGGCGCUGGAUCGGGAUCCCGGAGUCUCUCUCUCCUGGGCUCCCUCUGCCUUUCUCCCGCUCCCUUCCCCUUUCUCUCCUGCCUCCUCCCUCUCCUUCCCUUCCUCCUCCUCUACAGCGAACUCGGCUGGACGAUCGGAUCUUCUCCUCGGUGCCGGAGCCCGGAAGGGAAAGGACAAGCUAACCCGAGCCUGAGCCCGCUCCUCCGGCAGCGCGCGGCGCUGUUUCCCGGCUGCACAGCUGGAAUUUAAAGAGACAGGCGCGUCAGCGUGAGGGCCAUCUCUUUGGCUGAGAAGGAAGCCAAAUCGUUCGCCC